rnacentral:rRNA from 1 species
GACGGAGGGUGCGAGCGUUAUUCGGAAUCAUUGGGCGUAAAGAGCGUGUAGGCGGCCGGUUAAGUCAGGUGUGAAAGCCCGGGGCUCAACCUCGGAAGUGCACUUGAAACUGGUCGGCUUGAGUUCGGGAGAGGGAAGCGGAAUUCCUGGUGUAGAGGUGAAAUUCGUAGAUAUCAGGAGGAACACCGGUGGCGAAGGUGGCUUCCUGGACCGAAACUGACGAUGAGACGCGAAAGCGUGGGGAGCAAACAGG